ensembl:lncRNA
CCUGCGAGCAGCGCGAGCGUUCACCUGCGAGCAGCGCGAUUUACAAAAUGGUGCCGGUAGUGCUUCUUGCUGAUUUCUGUUGAGACAUUUUUCUUCGGCGUGAAAGCAAACCUCGUCAUUAUUUCUCAACGCGCGGCAGAAAACCCUGCUCCAUAGGCCCUGAUGUAUAUUUCAGACCGGAUGUGACGCAUCGGAGCCAGGUAAAGGUCAGAACAGAACUAUGAAGGUAAAACAUGCCGAAAGGAGGAAAAAGCCGUCAGAGAGUGGAUCUGACCUGGAGGAUUACAGUGGAAUGGAUUGUUUGGUGACAUCAUUACCUGUAAAAGAUCAACAGUAAAUUCAGUUAACGUCCUGUAAUCGUCUCGUCACAGCGCUCGUUCCGACAGUUUCCACCAUCACAGUGAAUCCAUAUGACGUCCAUCCACACCCGUGUCCUGAUGCAGACCCAUGACCAAAACCUCUCGGAGAUCUCCAGCAGGUUGUAUUGGACACGGAGAAACGGACAGUGGAGUAUGAAUAAAAAAAUGGCAGAGCGUGAGACGCCGCGAUGUGACGAGGUUUCCGCUCGGCCGCUCUCAGCGAGUCGGAUGAAGGGGUUCAUCAUCACAGCAUCGCAAAAUGGCCAACCUGGACUUCAUUUCCCAUCAGCCUCUUCACACUACUCUACAGCCGAAUCACAUGACCCUGUCCCAUGCUAGUGCUGUUCUGAUUGCACUCACCUGUGCUGUGUUUCUCUUUGAUUAGUGGAUCUGUUUGAAGGCCUGCUGAGUCUGGGUUCGGUGGUUAAGGUGCUCUUGUGGCCAGGGAUCUAUAAAUUCUAGAUUUGUGUUACUCUGUUAACUACUGCACGUGCACGAUACACAUUAAAGGCGUGAUUAUGUAUACCAGUGGACUUUUAUUUCUGAGGGUGUACAUGUCCCUGUGAAUGAGCGGUUACUAUAGAAACCAUGGUUUAUUAUUGAUAUAGCUGUUGUAAAUUAGUUCUUUUAUUUGUAAGUGAAUGUUAUACUCUUUUUGUUUCUCAGCGCGCGCGCGUGCGUGCGUGUCUUAAUCUGCAGGAAUCCAGAUUAAAAAGGACGACACACACACACAGUCACUCUGAGCCAAUCCAGGACUCUUCUUCUUGCAGAAGACAAACAAAAGCGUGUCUUCUCCACUGUUUCAGUUUUUUUUUUUAGGGGCGUUUGUAGAUGUGCUGAAUUUGUGCACGCGAAUUUCGGUCUCUCUCUCUCUCUCUCUCUCUCUCUCGCGCGCGCGUUUACGGGCUUGCUUGCUUGUUUGUACGCACGCGCGCUUGCUUGCUUUUUUUUGUAUAACAAACACCUAUAGCACAUAUAUAUAUAUAUAUAUAUAUAAGAUUUCUAAAUAUUUCUUCUCGGAACUGGAGAGAAGAUGGUGAGGAAGAAAUUGGUGAUGUUUGUCAGUUAAGGAACGCGGAUGAAGGAAAG